CCUACGUGUGACAGCAGUGAGGAAUAUUGGUCAAUGGGCGGAAGCCUGAACCAGCCAAGUAGCGUGCGGGAUGAAGGCCCUACGGGUCGUAAACCGCUUUUGCACGGGGAUAACACCCUCCACUUGUGGAGGUCUGCAGGUACCGUGCGAAUAAGGGCCGGCUAAUUCCGUGCCAGCAGCCGCGGUAAUACGGAGGGCCUGAGGGUUAACCGGAUUCAUGGGGCUAAAAGGGAGCGUAGGCGGGCGUUCAAGUCAGCGGUAAAAUCGCGCGUCUCAACCGCGCCCCGCAGUUGAAAGUGGACGCCUUGAGUUCACAACAGGCAGGCGGAAUUCGUGGUGUAGCGGUGAAAUGCAUAGAUAUCACGAGGAACCCCGAUUGCGAAGGCAGCCUGCCGGGGUGCGACUGACGCUGAGGCUCGAAGGUGCGGGUAUCAAACAGGAUUAGAUACCCUUGUAGUC
rnacentral:rRNA from 1 species